rnacentral:lncRNA from 1 species
UUUUAUGGCCGUUUUUAUGUAUUUAGGCGGUCCUUUUGAAAAUUGAUAUAUUCAUUUUGAGGGAGGAGUGAUUCUUUUUCCUUUGAUUUAGAUCCUAAAGCCGAAAUCUUGUUAAGAGAGGAGAAUAUGAUAACAUUGAUCUCGGGUGUGAAGCUAGGAGCUUCAAACCACUUGGCCUUGCACUAAAAACCCACUAUUAGAAGUGAAGUGAUGUUGGGGUUUUUAUUUCUCUC